UACAGAGGGUGCAAGCGUUACUCGGAAUUACUGGGCGUAAAGCGCGCGUAGGUGGUUUGUUAAGUUGGAUGUGAAAGCCCCGGGCUCAACCCGGGAAGUGCACUCGAUACUGUCAAGCUAGAGUAUCGGAGAGGUUGGUGGAAUUCUCGGUGUAGAGGUGAAAUUCGUAGAUAUCGAGAGGAACACCGGUGGCGAAGGCGGCCAACUGGACGAAUACUGACGCUGAGACUCGAAAGCGUGGGGAGCAAACAGG
rnacentral:rRNA from 1 species